GUAUGUCAUGUUUUUUGUACUGAAAUAAUUAUUGUUUUACUUAUUUUCAGGAUGAGCAGAAGCUACAGGAGAGUUUAAGGCAAGGUGCCAUCAUUAUUGCUGCCUUAAUUAAAGAAAGAAAUUCUGCACUCAUUGGCCAGCUGCUGGUAGCAUGAAGAUGACAGGAUAUUAGGCCUCCAAAAAUAUUUGCUUAAUUUGUUUAAGUAUCUGUGUUGUGUUUUAUCCCCUUCCCUUCUCCCCCUUAUAUGUGAUAGAAUAUUUUCUAUAUCUUGUGAUUUAUAGUAUGUGAUGCUUUGAUUCUAAAAGUGGAUAAGAGUUGCUCUCUGUGAAAUUGUGCGUGUCAAAUAUAAAUUGCCUGAACCAGGAAAGAGUACAUGGUAGAAAAUAACAAAGGCUGAAAGGUCAAGUUGAAAUAAUGAACCUUCUAGGAAUGAGAAUUUAGAAAGCUUCAGUGAUUAUCUUAAUUCUGUUUAUUAAUCAUACUAUAUUGAAGCUGAUAAAUAAGUCUUUAGACUUCUCAAUUUAUUAAAAUUGUCUUUUCACCAUUUGAUAUUUUUCUUUUUUGUGUUAUAUUGAUAUUUUUCACACCUUCAGAACAAAGGCAGGGGUGUGUGUGUGACAGGAAAUAGAACUGUUUCAGUUUUCUUCACUAUUUGCCUUCCGUUCCUCUAUAUCUCUAAAGGAGAGGCAAUCUCCUCCUGCUUUUCUAUUAUUUUUAAAUUUUGUAACCUCUUUGGUUUAUGAAAUGUAAUUUUGAUUUACAUUUUUUAAAUGAAUCUCAUUUUUCUGAGUACAUUUAAAUGUCUGGAAGGUUUCAUAGAAGUUCAGUGUUUUUAGUCAUUCCUGGUUGGCAGCCUUUUGCAAAGCACAUCAUAGAGUCAAAUUAGUUACUCUUUCAAUUCAGAUAUUGCCUCCUUGUUAAACAAAGUUCUUAUUCUUUCUAAUUUCUAUUGACAUAUAGGUCUUGAAUAUUAAUAUCUUUCUUUACACUGAAUAAUUAUGUGCAUAUAAUCAUUAAAAUGCCUUUUAUUUUAUACAUAUAUUUAUUUUUAAAAAAUAGAUCAGAUCAUACCAGUUCUUAGGUUGCAUGUGGAAAUUAUACAACUUGCAUGAAUUAUUUUCAGCUAAAGAUAGACAAAAAGAUAAAAUAUCAACCUUGUGAAAUUUCUUUUUUCCCUGUAUUCCUCAAGUAUCAGUAUAGUAACUGAAUUUAUAUUUUACAUUUAAAUAAUCAUGAGUAGAUUAUAAUGGGCAUGGAAUAAUUAUUGUAAUUCAUUCUCCUAAAUGAAAAGGAUUGUUUGAAUGUAGGUUGGAUCUAUUUGCCUGGUCUCACCACUUUUCCUUUCUCUAGGGAUGUUAGGAGACACAAAUCAGUUAACUCACACUGUUUAGAGUGAAGUAUGUGGGCAAUGUGUAGGUUUGGCUAGAACAUCUGUGUCCCUUUGGAGGUGAUAACUGUGAUGAGAGGAGCAGCAGCAGCAAAGGGCCACACCCUGUGCCUGUUGAAGUCUUCAGAGAACAUGUUUUAAGACCUUGAAAAUGCUCAGAAAGGCAGAAGGGGGGAAGCAUUACCUGUGUCUGCAGUACAGCAUAGUCACCUUACUGUCCAAGGUGCUAGCUCUGGCAACAUAGAUCUCAACAAAGGGACUAUGAUAUCAGGCACAGAUUUAUCUGGCGCAGUCUGUGAUCCACAACAUUGAAAAUUAAAAAGAGCGAGACCCACCCACCUCCCAUUUUCACCCCCCUCUGCUUUCACUGUUCAGAUGAGAAAGUUGGGGUUCAGGCAUCUUAAUUACCUUGCCCAAUGUCAUGGGGCUCCAUUGUAAAGGAGGCAGGGCUUAAACUCAGAAUGACAUACAUUUUAACUUAUAUCCAAGCAUAACAAUGACUCCUGGCAAAGACUUCCAAAAGAGAGGUUGUGACAUGUACAUCAGAAUGUCAGAAUCUUGGAGUGAGCAUCUAGGAAUAGACAAAACUGGGAGACUCCUCUGACCAAUAACCAGAUGGAAGUCCUGGGGCUUCUGGCUUCCAAGCCACCUUUCCAGUAUAUGGUAGGCAGGAGUUAAGGGAUAGAGAGACUUAUUGGCUAAUAUGUAAAGAUAAAUUAUUUUAUUGAUUGUUAAGAGAUAAACAAGUAACAUUGCAGUUAUGUUUUUAUCAAUGCUUUAUAAAUUUAAUUACUGUAAUUAAAACCUGUCCAGUUUCUAUUUUCCAAGACUGCUUAAAAAAAGAAUAGUAGUUAUGCCUUAGGAUUGCUUUAAUUGCUUCUAGUUGUGGGAAGUUUUGUGGAAAGACUUUUAUUUGUAAAUGUAUGCUACUUAGUUAAAUGAAAUUCACUUUCUUAGGAAUUCAAGCCAGAGCAAUACCAUCUUGUAUUGGAAAGAGGUAGUAGGUUUCUUCCUCCCCAUUAAUGUGUUCAAUUUAGAGGUAAUGCAAGUAUACCCAUCUACAGGUAAAAGUCAGACUUCUACAUCCCGUCAGAGCCAUUGUUAUUGCAGCCAUUUUAAGCAUUUUUGCAUUGGUUUAACAGUAAAAUUCUUUUUUGAUUCUACUAUAUUGUCACUGUGAAAUUUUACUUCACAUAUAUAAGUAAUCAUCAUUUAAAGAUAAAAUUGUAGAACAUUUUCUAUUAAAAAUGUGUAAAUUUCAUUCUGUUCUAAUGUUGAAACUAAUUGUGGAUUUAUGGAAGGAUAAAUGAUAACAUUUUAACUGAACCAUUAGAACCCAUUUGGAAGAAAGACUGAAGUCAUUUUAAAACUUCAUUUUGGAAAUAAGUAGAAUAAAUGAAAAAAAAAAUUUUACUUUGCUAGCAUGACUUUAGAAGUGGCUAUGUAGAUGGUGGUGGUUAGCAUUGUACCAUUUUGUAUACAUUCUUAUACAUGUUAGUUUAAAAACUGAAAAAUGUAUGCAUAUUUUUAAUAUGAAAAGUAAAAAAAAAACUAAUAAAGAUUCUAAAUAUGUUCUCUCUUCAAAACAACACAGAAAUAAUUGACAAAUUAUUUAUAUUUUUAAAUCUAAUGACAUUUGCUCAUUUUUAAUGUGUACAUAUUUAUUCAAAUUUAGUCACAACAAAUAUCAUGCUCUCAAAAAUACAGUAGUGUUUGGAAAGCUAGAAUUUGGAGUCCCAAUCUACUGUUCUGUUAAAAAAUAGUUUAAAAUUGUAAAAUAAUAAAAAAUUAUAAACCAGAAGUGUAAGUUAGAUCUCUUUCUUCUUUCCGUCAUUUUUAUCAUGUUUCCUAGCAGCUAUAUUUUAGUGGCUACUAAAUAUACAAGAGUUAUAUUUGAGCUCAGGAGAAAAGAGUACUGUACUCACUUCAUGACAUCUUUGGUGAGUGUUAUUGUUCAGAAGCACUCUUGUCCUCCCCUUUCCUUCCUCUGGAGGAUUAUGUGAUUACCUCUUGACUUUGGGAUUCAUUGUGAGAACUGUUUUGACCCAUGGAGUGAGUCAGAAAUGACGGCGUGCUACUUACUAAACUAAACUUGUAGCUAAAUUUCAAAAUACUGCAUGCAUUUGGCUUGUUUUCUUACACUUCUGCCACCAUAGUGAGAAGAACACCAGCCUAGCCUGCUGCUGCAGAAAGAGGAGCACCUGGGUGGAGCACCUGGGCCAACUGGCCUCCAACUAACCACACAUGGCUGGAGAGCCCAGCUGAGAUCAGCAGAGCCACCUUGCUCAGUU
rnacentral:lncRNA from 1 species